GGCUCAGAACGAACGCUGGCGGCAGGCCUAACACAUGCAAGUCGAGCGCACCUUCGGGUGAGCGGCGGACGGGUGAGUAACGCGUGGGAAUAUGCCCUUUGGUACGGAAUAGUCCUGGGAAACUGGGGGUAAUACCGUAUGCGCCCUUCGGGGGAAAGAUUUAUCGCCAAAGGAUUAGCCCGCGUUGGAUUAGGUAGUUGGUGGGGUAAUGGCCUACCAAGCCGACGAUCCAUAGCUGGUUUGAGAGGAUGAUCAGCCACACUGGGACUGAGACACGGCCCAGACUCCUACGGGAGGCAGCAGUGGGGAAUCUUAGACAAUGGGGGCAACCCUGAUCUAGCCAUGCCGCGUGAGUGAUGAAGGCCCUAGGGUUGUAAAGCUCUUUCAGCUGGGAAGAUAAUGACGGUACCAGCAGAAGAAGCCCCGGCUAACUCCGUGCCAGCAGCCGCGGUAAUACGGAGGGGGCUAGCGUUGUUCGGAAUUACUGGGCGUAAAGCGCACGUAGGCGGACCGGAAAGUUGGGGGUGAAAUCCCGGGGCUCAACCCCGGAACUGCCUUCAAAACUAUCGGUCUGGAGUUCGAGAGAGGUGAGUGGAAUUCCGAGUGUAGAGGUGAAAUUCGUAGAUAUUCGGAGGAACACCAGUGGCGAAGGCGGCUCACUGGCUCGAUACUGACGCUG
rnacentral:rRNA from 1 species